AAAGAACAUUACAUACCCGUCUCAUACUGUGGUAUCUAGCAGUACCAGUCUCCCCCUCCCCCCUCCCACCACCAAACCACCUCACCCUCUCCCACCACCUGAAGCCGUAGCCACAAGAUCCCCUCGUCCUCCCCAACCCUAACCCUAUCUCUGAUCUGAAUCUUUGGUUGGGCUGCAGGCUUGUUGUAUCCCAGAUGGCGCGCUCGUCCUCCAAUGCUGGAGAUGUUGGCUACUAUCCCAACCCAUCUCCGAUUCCUUACCGUGAGCACGCGCUAGCAUAUGAGCCAGCUUCGAAUUGCUGGUGCGAAGAGAAAGGGGCGAGGAGAAUCUCUUGGACCAACGCUAACCCUGGUCGCAGGUUUCUGAACUGCCAAAAAUCUCGUGACGGAGGUUGCAAGUGGUUUGAUGACCCUACUACACCAUUCCUUCGCCAACUUUUGGUCGAUUUGCGUGACACGGUGCACAACCUGCGGAGGGAGAACGCUCGGCUCAAUUGAGUCAACGCGGACCUUGAAAUGGGGAUUGAGGAACGAAGCUCCACUAAUAUUUCUUUGCGGGAUGCAUUGCGCAAGACGAAGGAACGAAAUAAGGCUCUCGAAGAAAAGUUGGGUAAGACUGAAGCCCUUCUCAAGGAAAAGGCAAAUGGACAGCAGAAGCGGAUGCUUUUUAGUGUGAUUUUGUUAGUGUUCCUCCUGUUUCUAGCUAGCAAGCUUGCAGCUUAGUAUUUAUCAGUUGUUGUUGCCCUGCUCGAGCUGAUGUGCUGUUCGUGAACAAUUUAAUUAAUAUUGUGCUAUCCGCUACCAAUUCCUUUUGUGUAAUCUGAAGAAUGAUGUUUAUGUUAAGCAAAAUGUGUCUAUUUGGGGUGCA